rnacentral:rRNA from 1 species
GGACCCGCACAAGCGGUGGAGCAUGUGGUUUAAUUCGACGCAACGCGAAGAACCUUACCAGGCCUUGACAUCCCAAUGACGGCUGUAGAGAUACAGCGUUCCUUCGGGACAUUGGAGACAGGUGGUGCAUGGUUGUCGUCAGCUCGUGUCGUGAGAUGUUGGGUUAAGUCCCGCAACGAGCGCAACCCUUGUCGUUAGUUACUAACAGUAAGAUGAGGACUCUAACGAGACUGCCAGUGAUAAACUGGAGGAAGGUGGGGAUGACGUCAAAUCAUCAUGCCCCUUAUGGCCUGGGCUACACACGUGCUACAAUGGUUAGAACAAAGAGAAGCGAAGCGGAGACGUGGAGCAAAACUCAAAAAACUAAUCACAGUUCGGAUUGUAGUCUGCAACUCGACUACAUGAAGUCGGAAUCGCUAGUAAUCGCGAAUCAGCAUGUCGCGGUGAAUACGUUCCCGGGUCUU